GCCGGGAUUCCCGAGCCUGGUACGGGGCAGAUCCGACGAGCCUGUGGUCCCUCGGGGCCUCGUGGGUUCAAAUCCCACUCCCGGCGCCA
rnacentral:tRNA from 1 species